CAUCAAAAACCAAGUCUCUAAGCAAUGGAUGUCUUGGCUCCUCACACGAUGAAGAACGUGGCAUAAUGUGUUAAGUAACCGGAGUUGCAAACAUCAUGACAGGUUAAUCUUUGAAUGCAAAUUGCGCUAAACUCGAUCUCGGUCGAGAAGCAUGGGUGUGACAGUACUACAUCUUUUAUAAUAAUUCUUAUUCUAAGCGAAUAAGUAAAUAAUAUAUAAGACAAACAACACGUAGUCUGCCAUACGCAGGAAGACCCGCUGAACUGAAGCAUCUCAUUAAGCGGAGGAAAAGAAACUAACUAGGAUUCCCUUAGUAAAGGCGAUCGAAAAGGGAACAGCCCAACGUCAUAAUCCCGCAAGGGAAAUGUAGUCGGUUCACCUAUU
rfam:Trichomonas vaginalis G3, whole genome shotgun sequence.